UACGAAGGGGGCUAGCGUUGCGCGGAAUCACUGGGCGUAAAGGGUGCGUAGGCGGUCAGCACAAGUCAGUUGUGAAAUCUCCGGGCUUAACUCGGAAAGGUCAACUGAUACUGUGCGACUAGAGUGCGGAAGGGGCAACUGGAAUUCUCGGUGUAGCGGUGAAAUGCGUAGAUAUCGAGAGGAACACCUGCGACGAAGGCGGGUUGCUGGGCCGACACUGACGCUGAUGCGCGAAAGCCAGGGGAGCGAACGGG
rnacentral:rRNA from 1 species